GACGAACGCUGGCGGCGUGCCUAAUACAUGCAAGUAGAACGCUGACGAGAGGAGCUUGCUCUUCUUGGAUGAGUUGCGAACGGGUGAGUAACGCGUAGGUAACCUGCCUUGUAGCGGGGGAUAACUAUUGGAAACGAUAGCUAAUACCGCAUAACAAUUGAUGACACAUGUCGUUUAUUUGAAAGGGGCUAUUGCUCCACUACAAAGUGGACCUGCGUUGUAUUAGCUAGUAGGUGAGGUAAUGGCUCACCUAGGCGACGAUACAUAGCCGACCUGAGAGGGUGAUCGGCCACACUGGGACUGAGACAAGGCUCAGCCUCCUUCGGGAGGCAGCAGGAGGGAAACUUCGGCGAGGGGGGCAACUCGGGCCGAGCAACGACGGGUGAGAGGAGAAGGUCUUCGGAUCGUAAAGAGCGGUUGAAAGUCAAGAACGGGAGUGAGAGUUGAAAGGGCACACUGUGACGGUAGCCGACCAGAAAGGGACGGCUAACUACGUG
rnacentral:rRNA from 1 species